GUAGACGUGUUGGAGUGGUUAUCGGGCAUGACUAGAAAUCAUGUGGGUUUUGCUCGCGCAGGUUCGAAUCCUGCCGUCCACU
rnacentral:tRNA from 1 species